CAGCCUUAUGUGGCCACAAAUAGCAGCCUCCUUGGGGAUGUGCACAGCCUGUUCCCUACAUGGGUUACCCUAGAGACCUGGGAGACAAUU
ensembl:snoRNA Gm22947 predicted gene, 22947